rnacentral:rRNA from 1 species
GACGAACGCUGGCGGCGUGCUUAACACAUGCAAGUCGAACGGAAAGGCCCUGCUUUUGUGGGGUGCUCGAGUUGCGAACUGGUGAGUAACACGUGAGUAACCUGCCCUUGCCUUUGGGAUAACUUCAGGAAACUGGGUCUAAUACCGGAUAGGAUCUCCUGCUUCUUGGUGGGGGUUGGAAAGUUUCGGCGGUUGGGGAUGGACUCGCGGCUUAUCAGCUUGUUGGUGGGGUAGUGGCUUACCAAGGCUUUGACGGGUAGCCGGGCUGAGAGGGUGACCGGCCACAUUGGGACUGAGAUACGGCACAGACUAGUACGGGAGGGAGCAGUGGGGAAUGUUGCACAAUGGGCGGAAGCCUGAUGCAGCAACGCAGCGUGGGGGAUGACGGCCAUCGGGUUGUAAACCGAUUUCGCCUGUGACGAAGCGAGAGUGACGGUAAUGGGUAAAGAAGCACCGGCUAACUACGUG